rnacentral:tRNA from 1 species
GGGGAUGUGGCGAAAUGGUAACGCGGUGGGGAACCCUGUUCCCGGCGAUCUGUGAGUUCGACCCUCACCAUCCCCA